UCAGAAGAAUUCUGCUUCAGAACCGUGUUGCUAAGCAUGUAGGACAUUACUGGGCUUGAUCACAGAGAAAAGACUUGCCUUCUGAAUUGGAACUAUGCCACAACCAGAAAAUAGACACGGAAGAUUAAUUUUUCUACGAUCACUUUCAACUCUUGCCUUCUAAAAGUGUAGAGUCAAAGACUCUACAAAUUUCUAACAAGUCCUUCUUUCAUUCCAAAGAGAGAAAGAUUGUUCUAGUGUGUAAUCUGAUCCAGGGGGUUUAGAGGAAUCAGGGUAAUAGAGAGUUGUUAUAAACAGCAUACAUAGAUUAUCAAUUUUCAAGGAAAAUAAAUUCAAAUAUACUUAUGACAACAAUAUUUCUCUGAUGUCCAAUUUCUCAGAAAAAAAAAACCAACCAAGCAAAGCACCUGACCCUUAGGAG
rnacentral:lncRNA from 10 species